rnacentral:rRNA from 1 species
UGAGGAAUAUUGGUCAAUGGGCGCAAGCCUGAACCAGCCAUGCCGCGUGCAGGAUGAAGCAUCUAUGGUGUGUAAACUGCUUUUGUACGGGAAGAAACCACCCCUCGUGAGGGGUAUUGACGGUACCGUAAGAAUAAGGAUCGUCUAACUCCGUGCCAGCAGCCGCGGUAAUACGGAGGAUCCAAGCGUUAUCCGGUAUCAUUGGGUUUAAAGGGUCCGUAGGCGGUUUAGUAAGUCAGUGGUGAAAGCCCAUCGCUCAACGAUGGAACGGCCAUUGAUACUGCUAGACUUGAAUUAGUAGGAAGUAACUAGAAUAUGUAGUGUAGCGGUGAAAUGCUUAGAUAUUACAUGGAAUACCAAUUGCGAAGGCAGGUUACUACUAAUGGAUUGACGCUGAUGGACAAAAGCGUGGAGAGCGAAC